rnacentral:lncRNA from 1 species
AUUUGCUUUCUAGACAUACUUUUAAUUGAAAUUCAGGAAGAUGACUAACAGAUAUUUGGAUUGAAAUAAGUUAAAUCAACUACUCAUUUGUCACCAUUGUCAUUUUGUUUGCUUGUUCUAUAACUUCCAAAGCAUUUACUUGAAUUCAACCAAUUCUGAUAAACUUACAAGCAUCCAGGUUAUUCUACUUUGCAGUUUCCUUCAUCAUCUUGAAAUAAUGUGGUAACUGAUAUAUUUUUGAAUGGCCAUCUUCACCCUGAUUUUUAGUGGCUUCGAUGGUCUCGUGUACAUACAAAGAGGGUAUGCAGAAAUGCAACUGCACUGGCAGCUAGUAUUACCGCUAACCUCACCAAAUUGAUAACACUAAUCUGGGAACAAGCUCCAAUAUUUAGCAGAGGUGGUCAACAGGAUCCUGGCUGGAUGAUGAACAUGCAAAGGUGGGCUCUGGCUGUGGCUGCUGGGACUCCCCUGCCCCUUCCAGCCUGUAGAGGAGUGAGGAACCACAAUAGCUUGCUUACUUCCUUUUGGGCUCUACUUUCUUGUCCCCCAUUGCAUAGUCCCAUAGUGUCUGUUACAAAUGCCUAACUACCUGGCUGUACAAGAAAUGCUGGAUUGAUCAAUUAUGAAAGCAACAAAUGAUUAACUAGUUUCUUUUUUUAAAAAACCACAUCACUUACUUAAAGUCAGUCAUCCAAGGCUUAUCCAAACUACUUAGGAAAACCUCAUUAAAUCAGGCUCCCCUAAUUAGAAAUUAGAUAAUUCUGACAGGAGCAAAGCUAAAGUUUACCUUUUUACUGUCUGUAAAAAAAUAUUUCUGCAAAGCAAAGGAAUAACAUAAACAAGACAAUGAUUUUCUAAAUUUAAAGUUCCAGGAUAGAUUCAAUAUUCUCCUAAGUAUCUUGACAGCAAAUUGUCAACCUUGAAGGUAUCUUCAUGCUAUAUGUAAACCUCCACCUACAGAAAAUAAAGCUUUAAUUGUAAAACAUUCUUAUCUAUCACUGAAGAAGGUCUCAGUAAAGACUUUACUAGGUAACAUAAUUGGAGACUAGUUAUAAUUAAAGCUAUUUUAAUAUAUGCAUAAGUGUCUCAUUUUAUACUGCAUCAUCAGGAUUCAUACAAGUAAAAUUUUCAGACAACUGGGAUUUUUAUUUUAAGUAGCAAUACUAAUUUAUCUUAAUUGGGCAGGUAUGACCCAGUGAUGAAACAUGGACGAUCUGAGUCUACUUCUGGCUGCAUCUUGGGCAACUUAAUGUAUUUUUGCCUCCGUUUCUUCACCUCAUCCUCUGCUGAUUCUGUCUCUCUUUCACGAUGUCUGUAGUCGUCUGUUAAAGGGCCCAUAGGCAAUGUAGGGUGGGAGGGAGGGUGCUGCGUAAACUGAGGAACUGAGAAAUCAAUCCAGAUAGGAAGGCAACAUAAACUUUUGACCAGGUGGUCACAGGAAGGUAGAAGUAAUGGAAAGUAUGCAGGCCUUGGUUUACUUGCAUUCAAAAUUGCAUGCUAUUUCUUAUGAGAUUCUUCAUAUAUUGAUGCCUAGUUUAUGUAGUACAUAAAUUCAGUUCUGUCUUCAACACUUCUGAGAAUCUUCACCAUAAUUUUUAGAUAUUCAUCAUUUUCAACAUUUAUUGAUAUUCAGGAUCUUUAAAAGCAACUGAUAUCUCAUUCCACAUAAGGUGCAUUUGUAACUUAGAUGUGCAGCAAGUGCUAUCCUCUAUUUGUAGAUAUAUAAUG